rnacentral:rRNA from 1 species
AUGAACGCUGGCGGCGUGCCUAAUACAUGCAAGUCGCGCGAACAGACGAGGAGCUUGCUCCUCUGACGUUAGCGGCGGACGGGUGAGUAACACGUGGAUAACCUACCUAUAAGACUGGGAUAACUUCGGGAAACCGGAGCUAAUACCGGAUAAUAUAUUGAACCGCAUGGUUCAAUAGUGAAAGACGGUUUUGCUGUCACUUAUAGAUGGAUCCGCGCCGCAUUAGCUAGUUGGUAAGGUAACGGCUUACCAAGGCAACGAUGCGUAGCCGACCUGAGAGGGUGAUCGGCCACACUGGAACUGAGACACGGUCCAGACUCCUACGGGAGGCAGCAGUAGGGAAUCUUCCGCAAUGGGCGAAAGCCUGACGGAGCAACGCCGCGUGAGUGAUGAAGGUCUUCGGAUCGUAAAACUCUGUUAUUAGGGAAGAACAAAUGUGUAAGUAACUGUGCACGUCUUGACGGUACCUAAUCAGAAAGCCACGGCUAACUACGUG